GACGAACGCUGGCGGCGUGCUUAACACAUGCAAGUCGAACGGAAAGGCCCUGCUUUUGUGGGGUUCUCAAGUGGCGAACGGGUGAGUAACACGUGAGUAACCUGCCCUUGACUUUGUGAUAACUUCAGGAAACUGGUGCUAAUACCGGAUAGGAGCUCCUGCUGCAUUGUGGGUGUUGGAAAGUUUCGUCGGUUGGGGAUGUACUCGCUUCUUAUCAGCUUGUUUGUGGUGUAGUGGCUUACCAAGGCUUUGACGGGUAGCCGGCAUGAGAGGGUGACCGGACAAAUUGGGAGUGAGAGAAGGCACAGAGUGGAACGGGAGGCAGGAGUGGGGAAUAGUGAAAAAAGGGAGGAAGCAUGAAGAAGAAAAGCAGGGUGCGGGAUGAAGGGCUUAGGGUUGUAAAAAGAUUUAGAAUGAGAAGAAGAGUGAGUGACGGUAAUGGGUAAAGAAGCACCGGCUAACUACGUG
rnacentral:rRNA from 1 species